CUACUAUACAGAAUGGAUUUUAUUCCUCACCGUACAGUAUUGCUACAAACCGCAUGAUUCCACAGACAUCUAUCACGCCAUUCAUUGCUGCUUCCCCUGUCUCCACAUAUCAGGUUCAGAGUACUUCAUGGAUGCCCCAUCCGUCAUAUGUUAUGCAACCAACAGUAAGUAAACACAUAAAACUGCCUUUCUUGUUUUAUUAAAAAUUAUUCAGACUCUGUCCACUGCUCUUGCUUAAACAGAUUUGUUAAACUGACUGUUUAUUCAAGUGAUCUGAACUACAAAGCAUUAAAAUAUUACAGGGAUAAUUAAUGGAAUCUUUUGAGGAUCAUU